rnacentral:rRNA from 1 species
GAUGAACGCUGGCGGCGUACUUAACACAUGCAAGUCGAGCGAAGCACUUAUGAUUGACUUUUCGGAGGAUUUCAUUUGUGACUGAGCGGCGGACGGGUGAGUAACGCGUGGGUAACCUGCCUCAUACAGGGGGAUAACAGUUAGAAAUGACUGCUAAUACCGCAUAAGCGCACAGUACCGCAUGGUACAGUGUGAAAAACUCCGGUGGUAUGAGAUGGACCCGCGUUUGAUUAGCUAGUUGGUGAGGUAACGGCCCACCAAGGCGACGAUCAAUAGCCGAGCUGGGAGGGUGACCGGCCACAUCGGGACUGGGACACGGCCCAAUCUCCGACGGGAGGCAGCAGUGGGGGGUAUUGCACAAUGGGGGAAACCCUGAUGCAGCAACGCCGCGUGAGUGGAGGAGUAGUUCGGUAUGUAAUGCUCUAUCAGCAGGGAAGAAAAUGACGGUACCUGAGUAAGAAGCCCCGGCUAACGACGUGGCAGCCGCCGCCGUAA